CCAAGCAAGGAAGGAGAAAGCAGGCAGCAGACCCUCUGCCCUGACCAGACCAUCCAGAACAGCUAUUGCUAGAAUACGAGAUAUUCCACUGCUUGUCAACAGCAAACAGUAUUCCUGACCUUAUGGUUGCUAUCAUCUUUGAAAAGACAACAGUCUGCAAAAGUCCCAGUAUUCAGAGAGAAAAUACACCCCUUUGACAACCCAUCCAACCACACUGCUCUACGCAACACUAAAUUCUACAUCCUAUACUAACUUUCAAGCAGCAAGUUCAGAAUACAGCAUGCAACUAGAGAAGAUAUAUGCUCCUAAAAGGAAAGAGAAAAUUUCUCUCAUUAUGCAAGUUGCAAUGUCCCCCAAGAUAAAGUUAGCAAGUUCUCUCCCCACCACCUCAAGCAUCACCUCUCCUAAUACCAGCAAAGUGGUUCAGAAGAGAAGGUCGACUCUCAGACCCCCUUCUUACAUAGGUUAUAUACUUGAAACACUAUAGACAGAUUGCAGCACAGAGCACAAUUGAAGACUUUGCUCUGGCAAUAAAUGCAGUAAAGAAGCAAUUCUUUGCUGCACGUGUUGGAUCCACAGGUUUGCAUUCCAGUGGAAUUGUCAAGGGUAAUGAGGGACUUCUACAGGCCCCUUCCGCUCCAGCUUUGGAGCCAACAAUUAGCCACUGUGAAGCUUUUAAUGAGUUUUUUGUGGACAAAAUAUCUCGUAUUCAAGCUGGCCUGGAUUCCAUUGUUGGUGCCGAGUCUUUAGUGGAGGUAUCCAGUAACUCCCUGUGUGUGGUUACAUAGAAUUACUUUCAGUUUGUGAUUCCUGAGAAAGUGAACAAGCUGCUUGGAACUGUGCAUCCUACCACCUGUUCUCUUGACCCUUUUCCAACAUGGCUUUUAUCAUCAUCAAAGGGAGAUUGUUGGAGGGGGCCUGAUCGAGACAAUAAAUGCUUCUCUGAGAGAAGGUAGGAUGCCUCCUUGUUUAAAGGAAGCAACUAUUAGAUCUCUUUUAAAGAAGCCCACACUUGAUAUCUCUGAGUUAGGCAAUUAUAGGCCUGUUUUUUCAAUUUCCCGUGGUUGGCCAAGGUGACUGAGAAGGUUGUAGCCUCUCAACCCCAGGCAGUGUUGGAUGAAAUCCAUUUCAAACUUGAUUUUGGGCAGGUUAUGGAAUAGUGACUACCUUGGCUGGCCUGAUGGAUGAUCUCCAAAGGGGAAUUGAUAGAGAGAGUGUGAGUGCUGGUCCUUUUGGAUCUCUCAGCGGCUUUUAAUACCAUCAGCCAUGGUAUCCUCCUGGAUCACCUGCGGGGUCUAGGUGUAGGGGGCACUGCUUUGCAGUGGUUCUGCUCAUACCUCUCAGGUAGAUUUCAAAAGGUGUCACUUGGAGACUGUUGCUCUACAAUGUGAGAGCUUUUGUAUGGUGUCCCUCAGGGCUCCAUCUUGUCUCCAAUGCUUUUUAACAUCUACAUGAAACCGCUGGGAGAGAUCAUCAGGGGAUUUGGUGCAGGGUGUUAUCAGUACGCUGAUGACACCCAAAUCUAUUUCUUAAUGUCAGCUUAAUCAGGUGAUAGCAUAACUUCCCUAAAUGCCUGCCUCAAGGCAAUAAUGGACUGGAUGAGGGAUAACAAACAGACUGGAUCCAAACAAGACAGAGCUGCUCAUUGUAGGAAGCUGCAGUUCAGGAAAUGGGAUAGAUCUGCCAGUUCUAGAUGGGGUUACACUCCCCCAGAAGGAACAGGUUUUAAGUUUGGGGAUAAUUCUGGACCCAACCCUCUCUCCGAUACCUCAGGUGCAGGUGGUGGCCAGGAGUGCUUUUUAUCAGCUUUGACUGAUUUGCCAACUGCCCCCUUUCCUGGAAGUCAGUGACCUUAAGACAGUGGUACACAUGCUGGUAACCUCCAGGCUUGACUACUGCAAUGCACUCUAUGUGGGGCUGCCUUUGAACAUAUUCAGGAAACUGCAAUUGGUGCAGAAUGCUGAUGGCAGAUUGGUCUCCAGGAUGUCCCAAAGAGACCAUAUUACUCCUAUAUUAAAAGAACUACACUGGCUACCAAUAGGUUUCCAGACAAAAUACAAAGCACUGGUUAUUACCUAUAAAGCCCUUAAUGGCCUGGGCUCAGGAUAUUAAGAGAAUGCUUUCUUCGUUGUGAACCCUGCUGCCUAUUAAGAUCUACAAGGGAGGUUUGUCUGAGGAUGCCACCAGCUCAUAUGUUGGAGCCUUCUCUGUAGUUGCCCCAGAGCUGUGGAACACACUUCCUGCUGAGAUUAGAACUGCUCCAUCCUGUUGGCUUUUAGGAAACAACUAAAGACAUCUCUUCAGCCACAUGUGUAAAGACAUCUCUUUUUAGCUAUUUUGUAGUUUUUAUGGGUAUUUUUAUACAUUUAAUGGUUAAAAUUUCUUGGUUUGUUUUCUUGCCAUAAAUCACCUAUAGACUUCAGUAGCAGGCAGUAUACAAAUAUGUUAAAAUAAAUAUAUAGCAGAUGAUUAUUUCAACUCUUAACAGGUUCCUUUUCUAAACGUUUCUGGGCUAGAAAUGCAUUUAAAAUGCCUUUACUCAAGGUAUAGCCCUGUACAUGGUUGCUGAAAUGUCUUAAUUCUGCAGCAUCAAGUACCUAUGCACAAGGACAACCUUGGAUAUUUCCAGCUUCUGAUACUAAGCUUGCAUUUUGUUAGUAAAGUCAGUUUAAGCAAGGCACUAUGUAAGAGACCAGCUGAAUAAAGCAGCAUUAUUCAAGUAUAUAACUUUAUUAAGUUUCAGUCCAAACACUCAAGACUCCCACCUCUAACUAUUUUGCAGGAUAGUCAGAACUGUCAUUGAAUAAAAUAAGAACUUAAAAGCUUAAUAGGGAUUGCUCGCUCAAGUACCUAGUCAGCCAUUUACAGAGGGCAAGUGCCACUGAUUUGUCAAAUUCUACCUGCUUGCAUUAGGUAUGCAUUUAACCUCACAACAGUUCUGCAAUCAAGAAUGUAGUUGGCAGCCUCAGAAUUUCAUAACCAGGAAACAAUAUUAAUUCUGACUCUACAAACCAGCAGAAAUGCUACUCUGAAUAUUAUGCACACCACUAAAAAGGGGAGAAAUUACUACAUAUUAGAAGGAAAACACU